rnacentral:rRNA from 1 species
UCCGAUUAACGCUUGCACCCUCCGUAUUACCGCGGCUGCUGGCACGGAGUUAGCCGGUGCUUCUUAUGCGAGUGAUGUCUUUCGUAAUGGGUAUUAACCACUAGGCGUUCUUCCUCGCUGAAAGUGCUUUACAACCCGAAGGCCUUCUUCACACACGCGGCAUGGCUGGAUCAGGCUUUCGCCCAUUGUUCAAUAUUCCCCACUGCUGCCUCCCGUAGGAGUUCGGGCCGUGUCUCAGUCCCGAUGUGGCUGAUCAUCCUCUCAGACCAGAUACGGAUUGUCGCCUUGGUGAGCCAUUACCUCACCAACUAGCUAAUCCGGCAUAGGCUCAUCCGAUAGCGCGAGCCGAAGCCCCCUUUCUCCCGUAGGCCGUAUGCGGUAUUAGCCUGAGUUUCCCCAGGUUAUCCCCCACUAUCGGGUAAAUUCCUAUGCAUUACUCACCCGUCCGCCGCUCGUCAGCAUCCAGCAAGCUGGAUGAGUUACCGCUAGACUUGCAUGUGUUAGGCCUGCCGCCAGCGUUCAAUGUGAGCCAGGAUCAAACUCU